rnacentral:lncRNA from 1 species
UAUAUAUAUAUAAUUAGGCUGAAAUAUUAUUAAUAACACAAAGCUAUUUAUGCUAUUAAGUUUUCGCCCUUUAGAUGAAUAAAUAUACAUUUAGGAUGAUGUAGGCUCCUUAAGGAGUUAAGGUUGAGUAAGUUAUUGAUUUAAUAGUAUAAUUUAACGGGUAAAAAUAGUCAAAGGAUUAAAUCUAACGUCGGAAAACUUGAUAACACCAAAUGCUUUGUACUAUCGAUAGUAUCUUAGCCGGACUCUAUAUAUAUAGGAAAAACUUCAAAUACCCCCCUUGUGGUUUUUUUCACUUUAGUACCCUAUGGUUUAAUGUGUAUCAAGUUAGUAUUCUGUGGUUUUGUACUUUUUCACUUUAGUACCCUGUGAUUUAAAGUAUAUCAAGUUAGUACCCUGUGGUUUCGCACUUAUCACUUUAGUACCCUGUGGUUUCGCACUUUAUCACUUUAGUACCAUGUGCUUUAAAAACCACAGAGUACUAACUUGAUACAAAAAAAAAACCACAGGGUACUAACUUGAUACAAAAAUAAAACCAAAGAGUACUAACUUGAUACACUUUAAACAACAGGGUACUAAAGUGAUAAAGUGAGAAAUCACAGAGUACUAACUUAACACACUUUAAAUCACAGGGUACUAAAAUAAAAAAGUAUGAAACCAUAGGGGGUUUUUGAAGUUUUCACAUAUAUAUAUAUAGAGAGAGAGAGAGAGAGAGAGAGAGAGAGAGAGAGAGCGCCAAGCAUAAUACUUUCGAAAAUAUAAAGAAGUUGAUACUUUCAAGUUUUUAACCCUUUCAUCAAUUUUUUUAAUUAUUUAUAAUUUUUGAAUUAAUAUUAUACUCACAUAAGGACUACUAAAUUUUAUGGGAAUCUCUCAAACCUAGAAGGGAUCACUAUUAUCUCAAUCGUAUAGUUGUUGAUCUAAGGACUAAAAAAUUAAAAGCUCCAACUUUUAUAUACUUCUGAAAGUAUAAUAACUCCACUCUCUCUCUCUCUCUCUCUCUCUCUCUCUCUAUAUAUAUAUAUAUAUAUGACACAACAAA